UCCGAGCGCAGCUGCCUUGCGCAGAGCUUCGACUACAACUAUGGCGACUUCAUCCCCAUCCCCAGGCCCUUCCUGCGUGGCUACCUCAACAAGUGCAGGGACCUACAGACCCGGAGGCUCGCCUUCUUCAACACCAACUACGUCGAGAAGAGAAGGAAGGUGAUGGACAUGCCAGGAGAAGACAAGAACAAGCUCAGAUGCGCGAUCGACCACAUCCUCGCAGCGAAGAAGAGCGGCGAGAUCACGCCGGAGAACGUCAUCUACAUCAUCGAGAACAUCAACGUCACGGCCAUCGAGACAACGCUAUGGUCCAUCGAUUGGGCGCUUGCCGAGGUGGUGAACCACCCGGACGUGCAGCGCAAGGUGGGCGGCGAGAUCAGGGACGUGCUCGGUGACGACGAGCCCAUCACCGAGUCCAGCGUCAACAAGCUGGCAUACCUGCAGGCUAUGAUCAAGGAGACGCUAUGGCUGCACUCCCCCAUCCCGAUCCUCGUCCCCCAUAUGAACUUCGAGGAGGCCAUCCUUGGCGGCUACACCAUUCCCAAGGGCUCCAAGGUCGUUGUCAACGCCUGGUGGCUGGCCAACAACCCGGAGCUGUGGGAGAAGCCGGAGGAGUUCAGGCCGGAGAGGUUCUUGGGCGAGGAGAGCAACAUGGAUGCCACGGUCGAUGGCAAGGUGGACUUCCGGUUCCUCCCAUUCGGCGUGGUCCGGCGCAGCUGCCUCGACAUCAUCCUUGCACUGCCCAUCCUGGCGCUCAUCGUCAGGAAGCUUGUGAGGAGCUCCAAGAUGGUGCCCCCGCCAGGCGUGGACAAGCUCGACGUGAGCGAGAAAGGUGGGCAGUUCAACCUGCACAUUGCCAACCAUUCCACCGUCGCCUUCCACCCCAUCUCACCAUGA
rnacentral:rRNA from 1 species